GCCAAAAUAGCUCAGUUGUGAGAGCAUUAGACUGAAGAUCUAAAGGUCCCUGGCUCGAUCCCAGGUUUUGGCA